ACAGUGGGGAGGGCGGGGAGGUGGGGAGAGAAGGGCAGGAAGCGCGCGAAGGGGACGGGAAGGAAGAAAGGCCGACUGCGGGCCUGGUAAGGAGGUCACCUCCGCUGCGUGUUGCUCCCUGGGGCGGACAGUGCUUAUCCUGACUGUCAGCUCGCCCCUGACUGCCUUGUCUCACGUGCGCUUUCAGUACCGUCACAGAUGGCCCCGUUUUAAUGUUCUCAAGAGCGUAAGAGAUUUCCCUUUGUUCAUUUUCCGUUUCCCGCGUCAGCGUUGUAAACAAGGAGCGCAGAAGCGUCCAUCUUGUUUACUCUGCGUCUCCAGCAGGGAAACUGUGCGUUAAGUUAAUAAAAGUAAGGUGCUGAAUACAAGAGGAAUAUAUGAAAAUGAUUAUUUUCUGCACUAAUAACCACUAAUUCGAUGUAGAAAUGAAAUGAAGUUUGAAAAUUAAGUCACCAAGAAGUUGUGGGGGAGAUUACCUGCAAAAAAAGCUCUUGUGGAAUGAGAAUUUCAGGAAAAAAAGAAAAAGAAAUACAAUUCAUACCAUCCUCAUAAGCUAUAGCUCCAAAUAUUGUGUUUUGUUGAGGCAGUGUACACUCAAGCUUUCUGGCUCUGAUUCCUCAUCUGUAGCUCAGAAAACUGAGAAUAAAAUAUGUAAAACAUUGAGAACAGUACCUGGUACUGGAAAUGCACUCUAGCCCCAAAAUGGUAGCCACCCACCAUAUGACUAUUGAUUACAUGAAAUGUGGCUAGGGCAAAUUAAACUGUGCUUUAAGUGUAAAAAUACACACUAGGUCACAACACACACACACAGUGUAAAAUAUCACAGUAUUUUUUUAUUUAAAUAACUUUUUUACUUUCCUUCUCCAGAUAGGAAGCCUACAAAGUUUAUUAUGCUUUAUCAGGAAAAUACAAGGUCAGUCUUGCCUAAGAGGCCUUGUAUUUCAAUUCCCCGGGCCAGAAACUGCUACUGGACAGACUGAAACAAGCCAAAGGGAAGAUCCAACUAUAAUCAAUCUACUUUAUGACCAAUGGCACACAGGGUUCCAGACCUCCUCCAUUCUUCGGAUUCUAUAUCUAUUCACCUAUGUGAGCAUGGGCACUUAGGAGAAAUGUGCACAUCACUUCAAUCAUUUCCCCACUCCUGGAUUAAUCUUGGUCCACUCAGAGUCGGCUUUCUGCCAACAGUAAACCCAGAGAUCAGGAGGCCGAAGGUUCUCAAUGUCUACACAGGGUUCUUUUGGAGGCCCAGCAACGACCCUUUCCUUCAAGAUCCAUUCAGUACCUUUGGAUCAUGCUAACCACACACAGUAAUUACCCCAAGUUCCCGAGGCCGGAUGACAUCAGAUGAGGAUGAAGCCGGGACCAAGCCUGCUCGAGAGAAGGCGAGGUGGAUGCCUCACAGCAUUCCUUAUAUUGUGUUGAAAUAUUUUAGAUAUACUGGGAUAAAUUAAUUUACUGGUGUGAA